rnacentral:rRNA from 1 species
UUUUUGGAGGGCAAAGUCUGGUGCCAGCAGCCGCGGUAAUUCCAGCUCCAAUAGCGUAUAUUAAAGUUGUUGCAGUUAAAAAGCUCGUAGUUGAAUUUCGGGGUUAGUAGGUUGGUCAUGCCUCUGGUAUGUACUGAUCUUACUGAUUCCUCCUUCCUGAUGAACCGUAAUGCCAUUAAUUUGGUGUUGCGGGGAAACUGGACUGUUACUUUGAAAAAAUUAGAGUGUUUAAAGCAAGCUAACGCUUGAAUACAUUAGCAUGGAAUAAUGAAAUAGGACGUUCGAUCCUAUUUUGUUGGUUUCUAGGAUUGACGUAAUGAUUAAUAGGGAUAGUUGGGGGCAUUAGUAUUCAAUUGUCAGAGGUGAAAUUCUUGGAUUUAUUGAAGACUAACUACUGCGAAAGCAUUUGCCAAGGAUGUUUUCAUUAAUCAAGAACGAAAGUUAGGGGAUCGAAGACGAUCAGAUACCGUCGUAGUCUUAACCAUAAACUAUGCCGACUAGGGAUCGGAUGAUGUUAAUUUUUUAAUGACUCAUUCNGCGCCNUUACGGGAAACAAA